GUUCAAACACCGGUUCUCGGAUGAUCACCAAAGUUAAGCAACUUCGAGCUUGGUCAAUACCUAGAUGGAUGAUCGUUUGGGAAUACUAGGUGUUGU